GGGGGUGUAACUCAGUCGGUUAAGAGUGCCUAUCUGUCGAAUAGGAAGUCGCGAGUUCAAGUCUCGUCAUCCCCGCC
rnacentral:tRNA from 1 species